rnacentral:rRNA from 1 species
UACGUAGGGUGCGAGCGUUAAUCGGAAUUACUGGGCGUAAAGGGUGCGCAGGCGGUCUCGUAAGCUGGGUGUGAAAGCCCCGGGCUUAACCUGGGAAUGGCAUUCAGGACUGCGAGGCUUUGAGUGUGGCAGAGGGAGGUGGAAUUCCACGUGUAGCAGUGAAAUGCGUAGAGAUGUGGAGGAACACCGAUGCGAAGGCAGCCUCCUGGGCCAGCACUGACGCUCAUGCACGAAAGCGUGGGGAGCAAACAGG